rnacentral:rRNA from 1 species
UACGGAGGGAGCUAGCGUUAUUCGGAAUUACUGGGCGUAAAGCGCACGUAGGCGGCUUUGUAAGUAAGAGGUGAAAGCCCAGAGCUCAACUCUGGAAUUGCCUUUUAGACUGCAUCGCUUGAAUCAUGGAGAGGUCAGUGGAAUUCCGAGUGUAGAGGUGAAAUUCGUAGAUAUUCGGAAGAACACCAGUGGCGAAGGCGGCUGACUGGACAUGUAUUGACGCUGAGGUGCGAAAGCGUGGGGAGCAAACAGC